rnacentral:rRNA from 1 species
UACAGAGGGUGCAAGCGUUGUCCGGAAUUACUGGGCGUAAAGCGCACGUAGGCGGAUUUGUAAGUCAGGGGUGAAAUCCCGGGGCUCAACCUCGGAACUGCCUUUGAUACUGCAAAUCUCGAGUCCGGAAGAGGUGAGUGGAAUUCCUAGUGUAGAGGUGAAAUUCGUAGAUAUUAGGAAGAACACCAGUGGCGAAGGCGGCUCACUGGUCCGGUACUGACGCUGAGGUGCGAAAGCGUGGGGAGCAAACAGG